rnacentral:rRNA from 1 species
UACGUAGGGGGCAAGCGUUGGUCCGGAUUCAUUGGGCGUAAAGAGCUUGUAGGCGGUUCGGCAAGUCGGGUGUGAAAACUCCAGGCUCAACCUGGAGACGCCACCCGAUACUGCUGUGACUUGAGUCCGGUAGGGGACCACGGAAUUCCUGGUGUAGCGGUGAAAUGCGUAGAGAUCAUGAGGAAGACCAGUGGCGAAGGCGGGUCUCUGGACAGUUCCGUGACACUGAGACACGAAGGCCAGGGGAGCAAACGGG